rnacentral:rRNA from 1 species
CCUGAUCCAGCAAUGCCGCGUGAGUGAAGAAGGCCUUCGGGUUGUAAAGCUCUUUUAUCAGGAACGAAUCUGCAUGCUUAAUACGUGUGGCCUCUGACGGUACCUGACGAAUAAGCACCGGCUAACUUCGUGCCAGCAGCCGCGGUAAUACGAAGGGUGCAAGCGUUAAUCGGAAUUACUGGGCGUAAAGGGUGCGUAAGCGGUUCGUUAAGUCUGUCGUGAAAUCCCCGGGCUCAACCUGGGAAUGGCGAUGGAUACUGGCGAGCUAGAGUGUGUCAAAGGAUGGUGGAAUUCCCGGUGUAGCGGUGAAAUGCGUAAAGAUCGGGAGGAACAUCAGUGGCGAAGGCGGCCAUCUGGAACAACACUGACGCUGAAGCACAAAAGCGUGGGGAGCAAACAGGAUUAAAUACCCUGGUAGUCCACGCCCUAAACGAUGCGAACUGGAUGUUGGUCUCAACUCGGACAUCACUGUCGAAGCUAACGCGUUAAGUUCGCCGCCUGGGG